rnacentral:rRNA from 1 species
UACGGGGGGGGCAAGCGUUGUUCGGAAUUACUGGGCGUAAAGGGCUCGUAGGCGGCCAACUAAGUCAGACGUGAAAUCCCCAGGCUCAACCUGGGAACUGCGUCUGAUACUGGUUGGCUUGAAUCCGGGAGAGGGAUGCAGAAUUCCAGGUGUAGCGGUGAAAUGCGUAGAUAUCGAGAGGAACACCUGCGGCGAAGGCGGGUUGCUGGGCUGACACUGACGCUGAUGCGCGAAAGCUAGGGGAGCAAACGGG